AAAAAAGAAUGUUUACGUCUUAUCUUUGUAUAAAAUGCCUACAUUCUGAGUAUUGAACUUUUUCUUGUGGCAUGCGUCGAAUACUAUGCAAUGUCAUUUGUGUCACUCUUUGCAGUUGAAUAUUCCUAUUUUUCAUGUGUAAUACUAACCAUAAGGGGUUGUUUAUCUGCUAAACCAUCCUUUCCUGCCACAGGAUCCAGAUGAUACCCUAAAGAGGAAGACUUUUGAACUGCUUUAUAAAAUGACCAAGUCUUCCAAUGUGGAAGUGAUAGUUGAUCGCAUGAUUGAGUACAUGAUAAGCAUUAAUGAUAAUCACUACAAAUCAGAAAUAGCAUCACGAUGUAUUGAACUUGCAGAGCAGUAUGCGCCUAGUAACCAAUGGUUUAUUCAGACCAUGAAUUAGGUCUUUGAGCAUGCAGGCAAUCUUGUCAAUGUUAAGGUGGCACAUAAUUUAAUGUGGUUAAUUCCUGAAGGAUUUGGGGAGGACGAUGAAGGUGCAGAUAGUCAACUGUGAUCCUCUGCUGUAGAGUCUUAUCUACGGAUUAUUGGAGAGCCAAAGCUGCCGUCUUUGUUUUUGCAAGUAAUUUGUUGGGUCUUGGGGGAAUAUGGAACUGCAGACGGAAAGUUUUCUGCUUCCUAUAUCACUGGGAACUUAUGUGAUGUGGCAGAGGCUCAUCCAAGUGAUGACAUUGUCAAGGCAUAUGCAGUGACGACAAUUAUGAAGAUAUGUGCAUUUGAAAUUGUAACGGGAAGGAAAGUGGAUUUGUUGCCUGAGAGCUGAUGGACUUGUUGAGCAUUUGUUUCCCUGUGGAAGCUUGGUGGCUUGGGGUUUUUCUUGCGGGCCUGCUGGAAAUGGUUCUUCUUGGGCUUUGCCCAGAUCCAUUUUGUUGCCACUUAUUAUA